CUUGUGCCUUGUUUUAAUGUGGCAGACGAUCUUUUCAUAUUCAUUCAUACACAUGAAUUACAGUUAAGAUAAAAAACAACGAUGGAUUAUUUAAAACUUUGCCUAUUCAACAGAGCACUAUCUAUUACAGUAAUAGGCUAAUGGGCCUGGUCUUCUGCACAGCCUCCUGUGCACCCUUUUUCGGCGUCUGGAAUGUCGUUUGAAUUUUUACAAAGGCUCUGUCCCGAGAGUGUAUCUGUGGAUUUCUGUUCCACAGGCUGGUUGGCGGAGAGUCCACUAUUUUUAAUACGGGCAUGGCAUUCGAAGUUGACCCCCUGACCGCCAUAUUUCUAGCCGUUUUCAUGGCCAUCUGUAUCGAAAACGAGUUUAGGCAAUGCAGCGUUCUGAUUAGUCAAGAGUGCCGCAGUGCCUGAUAAGAAAAAUUAUAUCCUAUUAAACGCCAUCACGGAGAUCAAUAGUGCUUUGGUGUGCGGGGUAUGCCUUUUGUCACCUGUCAGAAAUUCUGUUAAACUAAUGCGGGUUCGAAUCUAAUGAUUCUUCAUUUUGUUUUUUCAAGGGAGGAGAGGAAUAUUUUUAUAUAUAUAUUUCCAGUUAAUUCCUCAAAAAUUAGAUAUAAUUUUGUUUGCUCUGCAUCUUAUCAGUUAUUUUUCUGCAAACCCAACAUCUCAAUCAACAUUUUUUUGGGUCACUUUGAGUAUUUUGUUAAAUAUUUGUGUAAUAUAAAUCAGAAGAAAAAUAACCAGAUCAUCACGAAAUACUAAGAAGUAUGAGUAGAAAGGGGAAAUGAAUAUGCAUAUGGCAAAAUAAGCAGGAAAGGGAGAGAAAAGACACAAAAAUUGGGGAAAAGGAGACAGGGUAGAAUACUAUUAGCUAAAUAGCUUAAGGUGGAGCUGAAUUGGAAAAUAAAGAAUGAAGAAAAGGGGGAAAAGUAAAUAAUAACAUUGCCAGGCUUUCAGGAAUAUAAGAAAAGAAGGGAAGAAUGGGAUGGCGUACGUAUAUAUGGAAUCUGUAUAAGCCUAAUACAGAUUAAUGCUAAAUUUUGUACCAAAAAUGGUGGCUAUCAAACUUUUUUUUCUUUUCUUAUUAUACAAUAUGAAAAAAAUCCCGCGAAUUUGAGGACCCAUGGAUGUUCCACAGGUCCCUCUUGUACAGUAUAUUACUAGCAUUAGCACCAGCUGCUUAAAGGUGCUUGGUGCUUUCAAGGAAUUAAUCCUGCUUGGUAUACAUUCACCUCACCUGGGUUGAGUGCAGCAAAUUGUGGUUCAACUUCUUGCUGAAGGAACUUGCACCAUGGCUGGGAUUCAAACUCAAGACCCUUUGUUUAAAAUGCGAGAGUCAGAGCCUUGAGACCUCAAUGUUCUUAAAGUAUGGAUGAUGUUUUUGUGUUAAUUGUCAUCUUUAUAUGGUAAAUGAAUCAUCUUAAUGAUUGUUUUUAAAAUAAAAAAUAGUAACGUAAUUUCUUUGCACUUGUUUUCUCGUGGAAAUUUAUCUUAUGAUUACUUAUGAAAACUAAUAAUGAACUGCUAUUCUCACAUUUGAUAUUAGAUACUGGUAGCUUUUGCUAUACAAUAAUGGCUUGCAUUCUCAUGAGAGUGAGAAAGAAGCAAAGAAUAUUUUCUGAAUCCUUAUUACUAGUUUAUUUGUAUCAUUUUCAGUUUUGUAUUACAAAACUGUUAAUUAGAAUAUUUAGGAAUAGAAAUCUCCAGAUCAGCUUUUCAUCUCUCUCUUUCUUGUAUAGUUUGUGUUGGAGAGGUUGUUUGCAUAUUCUUUUGUACACAGGAUGGGAUUCAUUUCCAUUCAUUUAUUUAAAACUUACAGAUUGACAUAUCAAAUAUCUAAUUGGAGAAGUAGAAGACCAGAUGAAAUACCAUUCCAUUUGUCCAAGAUACCUUGUAGCAUUGUCCAGACUGGGUUGGAUACCUUAUAGCUGAUUGGAUUCAUACUAGGAGAAUCAGAUCUGCCAAAAAUCUAUAGCGCCUCUGGAGGUAUACCGCAUCACGUUAGAUCUAAACAGUCUCGGCACAGAGGACAAAGCACAAGUCUGAGGUAUGUUGAAUUAAGACAUAAUUAUAAACAGAGAAAUACAUAAGAAAAUUGAUUGAAGAAAACAUGAAAGAAGGAGUAAAACAUAGAAAUACAUGAGAAAUUAUAGAAAAGAAAACGGAAGAAGGAGA
rnacentral:lncRNA from 1 species